CUUUCUCUUGAUUGAAGCGUGACAUAAAAUGCUACAGCAGCCUGGCUUUUCAAAAUGGUUAGCGAUAAGCAUUGCAGUUUCCGUUGCCUUCAUAGAUUGCUUGGCCCAGAAUGAUGAUGACUGGCAGUAUGAGGACUGCAAGUUGGCCAGGGCAGGACCUCCAGCAACAAUAGUUCCAAUUGAUGAAGAAAGUCGGAAUGG